rnacentral:rRNA from 1 species
AUGUAUCGACGGAGAACCAUCUGUUUUCUCAUCAUCGUCCUCCUACUCCCGCCCCUGCUAGCUUCCUAUCCAUGUGUGGCCGCCGCACAUGGCCCACCACAUCAUGCUUCAGAUGAGCCCGUCGAUGUAAUUAUGAUGAUGAUGCUAGGUGACGACGCUGGUGCGUGUGGUCAAAUGAAUGGGCUUCAUUGUCAAGGGGGAAAGGUGUCAGGGAUGGGAGUUGCGAGGCACUUGGGACAGAGGAUACCACUGAAGGACCCUCCCUCGCCAAUCCCUAACGAGAACUCGGGGGUGGUGAUUCCCCUGACGCCGCCGCCACCGCCACCGCCGUCGAUCAAUUAA